rnacentral:rRNA from 1 species
UACGGGGGGGGCAAGCGUUGUUCGGAAUUACUGGGCGUAAAGGGCUCGUAGGCGGCCAACUAAGUCGGAUGUGAAAUCCCCAGGCUCAACCUGGGAACUGCAUCCGAUACUGGAUGGCUUGAAUUCGGGAGAGGGAUGCAGAAUUCCAGGUGUAGCGGUGAGAUGCGUAGAUAUCUGGAGGAAUACCGGUGGCGAAGGCGGCAUCCUGGACCGACAUUGACGCUGAGGAGCGAAAGCCAGGGGAGCAAACGGG